GAUGAACGCUGGCGGCGUGCCUAAUACAUGCAAGUCGAGCGAACGGACGAAAAGCUUGCUUCUCUGAUGUUAGCGGCGGACGGGUGAGUAACACGUGGAUAACCUACCUAUAAGACUGGGAUAACUUCGGGAAACCGGAGCUAAUACCGGAUGAUAUUUUGAACCGCAUGGUUCAAAAGUGAAAGACGGUCUUGCUGUCACUUAUAGCUGGAUCCGCGCUGCAUUAGCUAGUUGGUAAGGUAACGGCUUACCAAGGCAACGAUGCAUAGCCGACCUGAGAGGGUGGUCGGCCACACGGGAACUGAGACACGGUCCAGACUCCUACGGGAGGCAGCAGUAGGGAAUCUUCCGCAAUGGGCGAAAGCCUGACGGAGCAACGCCGCGUGAGUGAUGAAGGUCUUCGGAUCGUAAAACUCUGUUAUUAGGGAAGAACAUAUGUGUAAGUAACUGUGCACAUCUUGACGGUACCUAAUCAGAAAGCCACGGCUAACUACGUG
rnacentral:rRNA from 1 species